UUGGUACCAAAAUAUCCGAUAGAAAAUGCAAAAACACAUAGAAUAAUUGUAUGGUUUUUCUGUGCAUGACAUUAUACAGAAAAAAAUCAACACACACAGAAAUUCAAUUUAUUCUAUCGGUUCUUUAAAAACACACAAAAAAAUUACAUGCCCGCACAGAAAAAAUCUUAUUAUUUUGUGGGUUAUUUGAAAACGCACAAAAAAAUAACACAUGCACAGAAAAUUCGAACGGCCGCUAGGAUUUGGCAUUCGUGCUCUCCAUUUUGGCAUUCUAGCUUUUCAUUUCGGCGUCCGCGCGUUCUCGUGACAUGAAAAUACUUUAAUUAAUAAAAAAUUAAAAAAACAAAGAAGUCCUAACCCAAACCCGUCGGUCGAUGCCCCCAAACACCCUCACAGGCACUCGCCCAAUAGCAUGCACGCACCCGUGGACUCCCCCGCUCGGCUCCUCUCGCACACACCCACACGCUGUGCCGCCGCCGCAGCUAUGCACGCCCUGUCACCGCAGCAGCUCCGCACUCAUGCCGUCCACCGCAACCAGGUCGGCAGCCUCAAGAUCCGUUCCUCCGUAAGUUCCUCGCUGCUGGUCGCCGCCACCGAUUCGGUGCCCUUCCUCUCCGCAGCUUGCCGGUGGCGGCGCCCCCUCCAGUGCGCAGGCCUAGUUCUGCCAGCCACUAGCCGGU
rnacentral:lncRNA from 1 species